GGAAUACGUGGAAGAAUGGCCGGGAGACAAGCAAUCAGUUCUGAAACCGUGUGGAUUGGACAUGGACUGCCAGUAUGGAUUCGGCUGCACGAAGAAGGGAUGCACACCUCUACCUCAAAUGAUAAUGU